GCGUGGGUGAUGAAGGCCUUCGGGUUGUAAAGCCCUUUUGGCGGGGACGAUGAUGACGGUACCCGCAGAAUAAGCCCCGGCUAACUUCGUGCCAGCAGCCGCGGUAAUACGAAGGGGGCUAGCGUUGUUCGGAAUUACUGGGCGUAAAGGGCGCGUAGGCGGCUUCGAUAGUCAGGCGUGAAAGGCCUGGGCUCAACCCAGGAACUGCGCUUGAUACUGUGAGGCUAGAGUGUGGGAGAGGAUGGUGGAAUUCCCAGUGUAGAGGUGAAAUUCGU
rnacentral:rRNA from 1 species